rnacentral:lncRNA from 1 species
CCUCAACUUUUACUCCCUCCUCCCCCCCUUCUUUUAACUACUGAUUACUUUUCUUCCCAGUUUCCAUUACGACUGGGACACGAGUUCCAGCAGCAUGAAUGACCCCAUGGUGGACUCGGGAAAAGCCAGUGAUAUCUCAGUGUCCAGUUGGCCCAUGGAGCCCAUCCAGUGGACACCUUUUCCCCUCCUCCACCAGCUUUCAAAGCAGCGACCGCACAAAGCCCGACGGCCUCACUCCUACUGCGAGGGGAUGGAGCUGGUCAACCUCGAGAGGAGCUGGACGGCCUGAAGGCCAGGCAGAGCAACACACGGGCACCGAGGUGUGAUGUCAGUUCCACUCGAGGCAGAGUCCUGAAAGAGUUUCUGCCAACGUUUUUCACCACUGCUUCGGACCAGACUUCAGAAGCCAGCUUUGGCUUGGGACAGCGUAUUUCAUAGUAAGUAGUUACAGAUAAGUGUCUAGUAACACACAAUGCUGGCAUCCAACAGAGUUAAUGACUUACAUCCGGCAAUUUGAAAAUAAAGUCUAACAGAUUUGUUGAAGUCA